rnacentral:rRNA from 1 species
AUGCAAAAGACGCUCCAAGAUUUGCACAUAUCGCAUGAACGAAAUGAAUCCGAAAACAUACCGAUACUUGUUGAAGAAAGAGGGGAUGCCUUCCGGGGCAUCCCCAAGCUUAGAAGCUUGAGUCUCCUUGAAUAUUUACUUGGGGUUCCUUGGGCAUCCCCAAGCUUGAGGUCUUGCCUCUCUUCCUUCUUCUCACAUCGAGACCUCCUCGAUCAUCGAACACUUCAUCCACACAAAACUUCAACAGAAAACUCGGUAAGAUCCGUUAGUAUAAUAAAGCAAAUCACUACUCUAAGUACUGUUGCAAACCAAUUCAUAUUUUCUUUUGGCAUUGUGUCUACUUUAGUAUAA